UUCCGUCUAUGAAGAGACCACGGAACUCUGCGUCAGGCAUGGCGCCCGACACGCGUGAGGAUAUCUUCCAUGCUGCCUUCCUUCUGAGACUGCA